rnacentral:lncRNA from 10 species
UAUGUUUGAGAUUAAAUGUAUUUUAAGAUAAGGGCAUUAAGGAAGUGAUUAAAGUCGAAUGAGGAUAUAAGGGUGGGACUCUAAUCCAACAGAACUGGAAAGGAAGAGACACCAGAACUUGCUCUCUUUCUCUCUCUCCCCACCCUGCUCUCUGCUUGCACACAGAGAAAGCUGUGUGAGGACACUACAAGAAGGUAGCCAGUUGCAAGACAAGAAGAGAGACCUCACCAGACACCAAUUCUGCUGGCACCUUGAUCUUGGACUUCAGUCUUCAGAACUGUGGAAAGAUAAAUGUCUGUUGUUUAAGUUACCCAGCCUGUGCUGUUUUGUUAUGGUAGCCUGAACAGCCAUGUUAACAUGCUAAGACUAAUCAAAAGGAAGCUGAAGUGGCUAUAUGAAUGUCAGAGCAAGAGCAAACAAUAUUAAUAUCACUGGGAACAAGGAAGUUCGUUUCAUAAUGAAUAAGGGGUGAAUUCAUUGAGAGUACGUAACAAUCCUAAAUGCUUAUGUACCUAAUAAAAUCAAUUUAAAAUACAGGAAGCAAAAAUUCAUUUAACGGCAAAGAGAAAUAGAUGACUCUACAACUAUAGACAAAUAUAUCAAUACCCCUCAAUAAUAAUAGAACAAUAUCAGUAAAGAUAUAGAAGACUUGAACCAAACUACCCACCAACAUGACAAAUUGGCAUAGAACACCUCACCAAACAACAGCUGUAUAACA